UUGGAGGGCAAGUCUGGUGCCAGCAGCCGCGGUAAUUCCAGCUCCAAUAGCGUAUAUUAAAGUUGUUGCAGUUAAAAAGCUCGUAGUCGAAUUUCGGGAUUAGUACGUUGGUCGUGCCUUCGGUACGUACUGGUGUUACUGAUUCCUACCUUCUGACGAACCAUCAUGUCAUUAAUUUGGUGUGGCGGGGAAUCAGGACUGUUACUUUGAAAAAAUUAGAGUGUUUAAAGCAGGCUCGCGCUUGAAUACAUUAGCAUGGAAUAAUGAAAUAGGACGUUGACCCUAUUUUGUUGGUUUCUAGGAUUGACGUAAUGAUUAAUAGGGAUAGUUGGGGGCAUUAGUAUUCAAUUGUCAGAGGUGAAAUUCUUGGAUUUAUUGAAGACUAACUACUGCGAAAGCAUUUGCCAAGGAUGUUUUCAUUAAUCAAGAACGAAAGUUAGGGGAUCGAAGACGAUCAGAUACCGUCGUAGUCUUAACCAUAAACUAUGCCGACUAGGGAUCGGAUGAUGUUAUUUUUAAUGACUCAUUCGGCGCCUUACGGGAAAC
rnacentral:rRNA from 1 species